rnacentral:lncRNA from 1 species
GUUGCCGUUUCUUUUCUUUCUUUAUUAGAAAGAAGAGGUGUGGUGAACAUCUUUAAACAUGGAUCCUUCCUGGCGUGCUUUUCAAGUGUGCUCUUGGUUAAGUUCUGAGCACAAUUACUGGGCCAAAGAACUGGUGGAGCUCUGAGAAGGGCUGACACAGGCUUUCUCCCGCUUUCUGUUUCUUGGGUUGUCUCAGUGGGAUGUGUUUUUGAAGGAAAAGAAAGAGGUAAGUUUGCUUAGCUCUUUCCCUGCUGUUGGGCUCAGGAGUUGUGUCCAAGUUUUCAAUGUUACAGGUGACGUGGAGCCCCUGUUUUUAUACUUUUUUAUUGCAAAUAAGACCCCACUCCCAUUCUAACAGUCAGGGCUUAUGUUGAGCACCUGUGAGCAUCUGGCUGACUAAGCAGUGCUGAUCUGACUGGCAUUGGACCCGCACAGCAGCAGUCAGGAGACUACAGAUGGGAGCGGUUGGCGAGGAGGCAGAGCCUUGAAAUGGAGACCAAGUCGCCUGCUGUGGCUUGGGCCAAGGCCUUCUCUUUCUUCUAAAAGAUGCCUUUCUAGUGCUAGGCCUUUCCCGUUUGCUGUCACCCUCCUCUUCCUGGGAACAGGAAGUGUCAAAGCUUGCAUAGAUCCAGAACAGUGGGUCAUGGCCACUGUCCUGGUGAGAGAAGGACCACGAUGGGGCCAGCUGGGCACUAGUAUUGGGAUAAAAGCCCCUGUGGUUUCUGUUUUCCUUUCUCCUGUUACACGUAGGCUGGUGAGUGCAGAUUUCAGCAACUUUUUCUCUUGUGAUCACAUCUGAACUCUGGGGUUUGGUUGUUGGAGGGGUGAAAUCAAGCAGAUGUGAAGACCUAAGUCUGUCAAACUUUGCAGGCCUAAUUAGAUUUUGAGAAAGGGGUACUUCCUGUGGCUGAGCCCAGGAGGCUUAUGAUCUGCACUGGUGUAUUAUUCUAUGCACAUCUUCUCUAAUACCCUUACGAGGAGGGGUAUUUGGUUAAGAUCAGGGUUUAGGUAUUUUUGGGUCUCCUAACCAUGCUUAUAACCUUGUAAUAGUGCCAGAAUUGUACCAUUCCUUUAAGAACAGAUUUAGGAAACUGAGUCAAGGAAACAGUUAAUCUCUUCAGGAAGAGUAGUUGUUCUAACAUCAGAGCUCAGGAGGUAGCUGGAUGCACCUCAAUAGACAAUUCCCAACUUCAGUUGACUUGAUUUUUUUUUUGAUUAGUGGGAGAACAUUUUGAAAAGUACAUAAGUAAUACAUGGAUACACUCAUAGUAAAAUCAGAGUAAAAGGGGAGAAUUUGCCUUUGUUACAACCUUGCCCCACCCUGUGCCCCCCUUAGAAGCUGGGUGAACUGAUUCAGCAUGUACUCUUCCAGGCCGCCAUAUUCUGUGCCCUUGUAAAUCUUCACGUGUACAAAUACAGUAUAUAGAUUUUAAGGUUUUGUUUGUUUUACAUAAAUAGCAUCAUAUAUUCUUCCAUUUGUAAUAAUUGGUGACCAUUUUCAAGAAACUAGUGUCAGAGACAAAUGCUGCUGCCAAAUGCAGGGUAUGUGGGGGUGGAGACGACACCUUGGGUCAACAUGUCUUUGGGGAGUUAAUAAAUUUGUAUAGCUUUUUACAAUUUGUCAAGAUGCCCUUUCAGCUUUUUCCAAAAGUGGAAUUAAAGGCAUUUUUGUAAUUGUCGUACCAUGCCAAAUAGCUUUCCAGAAGGACUGAGCCACGUUACGUGGUUAUCAGCAACAUGAAUGUAUCCUGGGGUCUCCAUCUUUAGUUAGCUUGUUUCCUUGCUGGGUACAUAAUGAUACCUUUAGUUUACUUUUCCUUGAUUGUUGGCAAG